rnacentral:rRNA from 1 species
GAUGAACGCUGGCGGCGUGCCUAAUACAUGCAAGUCGAGCGAACGGACGAGAAGCUUGCUUCUCUGAUGUUAGCGGCGGACGGGUGAGUAACACGUGGAUAACCUACCUAUAAGACUGGGAUAACUUCGGGAAACCGGAGCUAAUACCGGAUAAUAUUUUGAACCGCAUGGUUCAAAAGUGAAAGACGGUCUUGCGGUCACUUAUAGAUGGAUCCGCGCUGCAUUAGCUAGUUGGUAAGGUAACGGCUUAACAAGGCAACGAUGCAUAGCCGACCUGAGAGGGUGAUCGGCCACACGGGCACUGAGACACGGUCCAGACACCUACGGGAGGCCGCAGUAGGGAAUCUUCCGGAAUGGGCGAAAGCCUGACGGAGCAACGCCGCGUGAGUGAUGAAGGUCUUCGGAUCGUAAAACUCUGUUAUUAGGGAAGAACAUAUGUGUAAGUAACUGUGCACAUCUUGACGGUACCUAAUCAGAAAGCCACGGCUAACUACGUG